GUCAGAAUGGCCGAGCGGUCUAAGGCGGUGCGUUCAGGUCGCAUUCUCUCAGGAGGCGUGGGUUCGAAUCCCACUUCUGACA